AUCAUUAACGUUAUACGGGCCUGGCACCCUCUUAUGGGUAAAUGGCCUCAUUUAAGAAGGACUUAAAUCGUUAAUUUCUCAUACUAGAUAAUUGAUGUUUCCUACACUGCAUCUCACAUUUGCCAUAUAGACAAAGUGACUUAGUGCUGAACUGAUUUCUUUUCGNUCGCCGNUNCUAAGA
rnacentral:rRNA from 1 species